rnacentral:rRNA from 1 species
AUGGUCUGCUUCCCUUGCAACCCUCUCCCCCACCUUCCCCCUGGCACUGCAAUCAUCCCGCCUGGCCCUCUUCGUGCUCGCCAUGGAUAUGUGGUUCUUGGAGGUGAGCUUCCGAUGGUUUGCAAUGAAUGGGCUGUCGCCACGCUCGUUCCUGAAGUUUCUGCAGAGGAGUUCCAUGGAGCUAUUGCACUAAUCACCAACUACUUGGAGGGGCGCGGCUGGCGCAUAAACUACACUUCUUGUUGUGGUAUGGGUACUGCGCUUAUUCAGUAUACUACUGCCUGUUCGCGAGAUACCGCUGUCAGUCUUAGUCCGUUUCAGAUUGGGGAUUCGGUUCUUAGAGUCAGCAGGCAGGACAGAGGUUUAAAUUAUCGCAGUAUUACUUUCACACAUGAUGUUUGGAUCCUGCUUACGAACUAUCCUCUUGAAGGCUGGGAAGUGGGGGUCAUUGGUCGCACUGUUUAUCCUUAUGGUCGCUUUAUCUAGAAUAAAGAUCCUAGGGACAAAUCGAGGGUUGUUGUUAAGAUCAGAGUUAUGAAUGUGGACUCUAUACCUAUUAGCCUUGUUGUACUGAGAAGCCUUGAUGAUGUGGGCUAUGGCGAUUCCUGGACCUGUCCAACUUACAUACUGUCUAGGGAGCUGAUUGGUCAACAGGGAGGGGAUGAGGACCCUCUGCCACCUGAUGGUGGUAACCCUCACCCUCUUCCUCAUGUACAUGUGAUUGGAUGGCCGGAGCCCACACAUGCGUUUGAAGAUAUGGACUCCGUGCUUAUGCAUACCUUCCUAGUAUAG